AGAGUUUGAUCCUGGCUCAGAACUAACGCUGGCGGCGUGCCUAACACAUGCAAGUCGUACGAGAAAGUUGGCUUCGGCCGGUGAGUAAAGUGGCGCACGGGUGAGUAACGCGUGGAUAAUCUACCCCUCAGUUGGGAAUAACUCAUCGAAAGGUGGGCUAAUACCGAAUAAUACUGCAUGACUUCUGUUGUGUAGUCAAAGAUGGCCUCUGCUUGCAAGCUAUCGCUGAAGGAUGAGUCCGCGUACCAUUAGCUAGUUGGUAGGGUAAUGGCCUACCAAGGCAACGAUGGUUAGCUGGUCUGAGAGGAUGAUCAGCCACACUGGAACUGAGACACGGUCCAGACUCCUACGGGAGGCAGCAGUGAGGAAUAUUGCGCAAUGGGGGCAACCCUGACGCAGCAACGCCGCGUGAGUGAGGAAGGUUUUCGGACCGUAAAGCUCUGUCGAGCGGGAAGAAAUGCAUAGUGGCUAAUAUCCAUUAUGCUUGACGGUACCGCUAAAGGAAGCACCGGCUAACUCCGUGCCAGCAGCCGCGGUAAUACGGGGGGUGCUAGCGUUGUUCGGAAUCAUUGGGCGUAAAGAGCGUGUAGGCGGCUGGAUAAGUCAGAUGUGAAAGCCCUGGGCUUAACCCAGGAAGUGCAUUUGAAACUGUUCAGCUUGAGUAAGGGAGAGGAAAGUGGAAUUCCUGGUGUAGAGGUGAAAUUCGUAGAUAUCAGGAGGAACACCGGUGGCGAAGGCGACUUUCUGGCCCUAUACUGACGCUGAGACGCGAGAGCGUGGGUAGCAAACAGGAUUAGAUACCCUGGUAGUCCACGCUGUAAACGAUGUUCACUAGGUGUUGGGGGUAUUGACCCUCUCAGUGCCGCAGCUAACGCAUUAAGUGAACCGCCUGGAGAGUACGGUCGCAAGAUUAAAACUCAAAUGAAUUGACGG
rnacentral:rRNA from 1 species